UAGUGUUUGAUCCUGGCUCAGCAUAUAAAGAAGUCGUAACAAGGUAACCGUAAGUCGUAACAAGUUAACCGUAGAGUUUGAUCAUGGCUCAGCUUUGACUUAAAAAAAUGGAGAAGUCGUAACGAGGUAACCGUAGAGUUUGAUCCUGGCUCAGCCUUUGACUUAAAAAAAUGGAGAAGUCGUAACAAGGUAACCCUAA
rnacentral:rRNA from 1 species